AGAGUUUGAUCCUGGCUCAGGAUGAACGCUAGCUACAGGCUUAACACAUGCAAGUCGAGGGGAAACGACAUCGAAAGCUUGCUUUUGAUGGGCGUCGACCGGCGCACGGGUGAGUAACGCGUAUCCAACCUGCCCACCACUUGGGGAUAACCUUGCGAAAGUAAGACUAAUACCCAAUGACGUCUCUAGAAGACAUCUGAAAAGAGAUUAAAGAUUUAUCGGUGAUGGGAUGGGGAUGCGUCUGAUUAGCUUGUUGGCGGGGUAACGGCCACCAAGGCUACGAUCAGUAGGGGUUCUGAGAGGAAGGUCCCCACAUUGGAACUGAGACACGGUCCAAACUCCUACGGGAGCA
rnacentral:rRNA from 1 species